rnacentral:rRNA from 1 species
UACGAAGGGUGCAAGCGUUACUCGGAAUUACUGGGCGUAAAGCGUGCGUAGGUGGUUCGUUAAGUCUGCUGUGAAAGCCCCGGGCUCAACCUGGGAAUGGCAGUGGAUACUGGCGAGCUAGAGUGCGGUAGAGGGUAGUGGAACUCCGAGUGUAGAGGUGAAAUUCGUAGAUAUUCGGAAGAACACCAGUGGCGAAGGCGGCUCACUGGCCCGGUACUGACGCUGAGGCACGAAAGCGUGGGGAGCAAACAGGG